rnacentral:rRNA from 1 species
UACGGAGGGGGCUAGCGUUGUUCGGAAUUACUGGGCGUAAAGCGCACGUAGGCGGCUUUGUAAGUUAGAGGUGAAAGCCUGGAGCUCAACUCCAGAAUUGCCUUUAAGACUGCAUCGCUUGAAUCCAGGAGAGGUGAGUGGAAUUCCGAGUGUAGAGGUGAAAUUCGUAGAUAUUCGGAAGAACACCAGUGGCGAAGGCGGCUCUCUGGGACGGUACUGACGCUGAGACGCGGAAAAGCGUGGGGGAGCGAACAGG